AGUAAAUAGAUACCCUGGUAGUCCACGCCGUAAGCGAUGUCGACUUGGAGGUUGUGCCCUUGAGGCGUGGCUUCCGGAGCUAAACGCGUUAAGUCGACCGCCUGGGGAGUACGGCCGCAAGGUUAAAACUCAAAUGAAUUGACGGGGGCCCGCACAAGCGGUGGAGCAUGUGGUUUAAUUCGAUGCAACGCGAAGAACCUUACCUACUCUUGACAUCCAGAGAACUUUUCAGAGAUGGAUUGGUGCCUUCGGGAACUCUGAGACAGGUGCUGCAUGGCUGUCGUCAGCUCGUGUUGUGAAAUGUUGGGUUAAGUCCCGCAACGAGCGCAACCCUUAUCCUUUGUUGCCAGCGGUUAGGCCGGGAACUCAAGGAGACUGCCAGUGAUAAACUGGAGGAAGGUGGGGAUGACGUCAAGUCAUCAUGGCCCUUACGAGUAGGGCUACACACGUGCUACAAUGGCGCAUACAAAGAGAAGCGACCUCGCGAGAGCAAGCGGACCUCAUAAAGUGCGUCGUAGUCCGGAUUGGAGU
rnacentral:rRNA from 1 species